CAGUAGCCCGGUAAUACGGAGGGUGCAAGCGUUACUCGGAAUCACUGGGCGUAAAGGACGCGUAGGCGGAUUAUCAAGUCUCUUGUGAAAUCUAACGGCUUAACCGUUAAACUGCUUGGGAAACUGAUAAUCUAGAGUAAGGGAGAAGCAGAUGGAAUUCUUGGUGUAGGGGUAAAAUCCGUAGAUAUCAAGAAGAAUACCUAUUGCGAAGGCGAUCUGCUGGAACUUGACUGACGCUAAUGCGUGAAAGCGUGGGGAGCGAACAGGAUUAGAUACCCGCGUAGUCCCUGUCUCUUAUACA
rnacentral:rRNA from 1 species